UACAGAGGUCUCGAGCGUUGUUCGGAUUCAUUGGGCGUAAAGGGUGCGUAGGUGGUCGUGUAAGUCGGAUGUGAAAUCCCUGGGCUCAACCCCGGAACUGCAUUCGAUACUGCGCGGCUUUGAGUACUGGAGAGGAGAUCGGAAUUUACGGUGUAGCAGUGAAAUGCGUAGAUAUCGUAAGGAAGACCAGUGGCGAAGGCGGAUCUCUGGACAGUUACUGACACUGAGGCAGCGAAGGCCAGGGGAGCAAAACGGG
rnacentral:rRNA from 1 species